rnacentral:tRNA from 1 species
UCCCUGGUUGCUUAGAUGGUAAAGAAUCUGCCUGCAAUGCAGAAGACCCGGGUUCAAUUCCUGGGUUGGGAA